rnacentral:rRNA from 1 species
CAGUAGCCGCGGUAAUACGAAGGGGGCUAGCGUUGUUCGGAAUUACUGGGCGUAAAGGGCGCGUAGGCGGCCAUUCAAGUUAGAUGUGAAAGCCCUGGGCUCAACCUAGGAAUUGCAUUUGAUACUGUUUGGCUUGAGUUCGGGAGAGGUGAGUGGAAUUCCCAGUGUAGAGGUGAAAUUCGUAGAUAUUGGGAAGAACACCAGUGGCGAAGGCGGCUCACUGGACCGACACUGACGCUGAGGCGCGAAAGCGUGGGGAGCAAACAGGAUUAGAGACCCGUGUAGUCCCUGUCUCUUAUAC